rnacentral:rRNA from 1 species
AUUGAACGCUGGCGGCAGGCCUAACACAUGCAAGUCGAGCGAGCGGCGGACGGGUGCGUAAUGUAUGGGGAUCUGCCCGAUAGAGGGGGAUCACUACUGGAAACGGUAGCUAAUACCGCCUACUCUCGGCUGACCCCUAUGGGAGUAGCUAGUUGGUGAGGUAAUGGCUCACCAAGGCGAAGCUCCCUAGCUUGUCUGAGAGGAUGAUCAGCCACACUGGGACUGAGACACGGCCCAGACUCCUACGGGAGGAAGCAGUGGGGAAUAUUGCACAAUGGGCGCAAGCCUGAUGCAGCCAUGCCGCGUGGAUGAAGAAGGCCCUAGGGUUGUAAACCUCUUUCGCUAUCGAACGGGUAGGUGGAGAAGAAGCGCCGGCUAACUACGUGCCAGCAGCCGCGGUAAUUC